UAUAAAUACUUGCUAACUAAUACAUAUAGCAUUCCAUUCUUUUAUAUGCUUUUAGAACUUUCUCAAGGAAAGAUGAAGUUUAUCUAUUUUUUGAUGUGCGUGACUUUCAUCAUGGCUCUUUCGUAUCCCGCACUUGUGGAUGCUGGAUUCGGGUGCCCUUUCUGCCAAGGAGAAUGUAACCUUCACUGCAAGCACGUAGUCAAGGCAAGGGGCGGAUUUUGCACAGGUGCUUUCAAACAAACUUGCAAAUGCAACCGAUGAUUACCUUUCCAGAAGACACGAAACAUGGAGGAUAGUGCGAACUUCAUCCAGACAUCGGAUGCCGGAUUAAUAAUAUUGCACUGAAAUGUUCAUAAUUUAAUGUAUACCUAUUUAAGAUUUAAAAACAGUGAUGAUUUAAUUUUGAUAUUAGUUGUACAAGUAACAUUCUAAACAAAAUAAAAUAGAUUUACGCUGCAA